rnacentral:misc_RNA from 1 species
AAGUCGUAACAAGGUUUCCGUAGGUGAACCUGCGGAAGGAUCAUUAGCACUUUUGUGGGAGAAGGGUUUUGUCGUUACGGCAGUCCUGAUCCCCGAUAAACACCUGUGAGCAUAGAUUGAUUUUGUGGAUGGGAGGGUGGAUGAGUGUGUUAUAGGCCUGCGGCCUAGCUGCGACCUAGGACCACUCCAAAGCUCUUUCCCUUUUUACUUUUUUAAAACCCCAACAACCAUAUCUAAAAACUUAUCAAAAGACUAAAACUUGCCUCUUGCCCACAAAGCAAGAGACAACCUUGAUAUUCUAACCAAAGAAACAAUUCUUAGCAACGGAUAUCUUGGUUCCC